rfam:Ictidomys tridecemlineatus contig006758, whole genome shotgun sequence.
GGGGAUAUAGCUCAGUUGGUAGAGUGCUUGCUUCACAUACACAAGGCCCUGGAUUCAAUUCCCAGCACCACCA